CCUACGGGAGUCAGCAGUGAGGAAUAUUGGUCAAUGGGCUUACGCCUGAACCAGCCAAGUCGCGUGAGGGAAGACUGCCCUAUGGGUUGUAAACCUCUUUUGUCAGGGAGCAACGCCGGCUACGUGUAGCCGGACUGAGAGUACCUGAAGAAAAAGCAUCUGCUAACUCCGUGCCAGCAGCCGCGGUAAUACGGAGGAUGCGAGCGUUAUCCGUAUUUAUUGGGGUUAGGGGUUGCGUAGGCGGAAUUCCAAGUCAGUGGUAAAAUCGGGGGGGUAAACCGUGCUACGACGUUGAAACUGGCGUUAUUGAGUGUGCGAGAAGUAUGCGGAAUGCGCGGUGGAGCGGUGAAAUGUAUAGAUAGCACGAAGAACUCCGAUUGCGAAGGCAGCAUACCGGCGCCUAACUGACGGUGAAGCACGAAAGCGUGGGUAUCGAACAGGAUUAGAUACCCGUGUAGUC
rnacentral:rRNA from 1 species